rnacentral:rRNA from 1 species
CUUGGGUGAAAGAUUUAUUGCCUGAAGAUGAGCUCGCGUCCGAUUAGCUAGUUGGUAGGGUAAAAGCCUCCCAAGGCGACGAUCGGUAGCUGGUCUGAGAGGAUGAUCAGCCACACUGGGACUGAGACACGGCCCAGACUCCUACGGGAGGCAGCAGUGGGGAAUAUUGGACAAUGGGCGCAAGCCUGAUCCAGCCAUGCCGCGUGAGUGAUGAAGGCCCUAGGGUUGUAAAGCUCUUUCGCCAGGGACGAUAAUGACGGUACCUGGAUAAGAAGCCCCGGCUAACUUCGUGCCAGCAGCCGCGGUAAUAAUCGGAUCCUUGU